AACGAACGCUGGCGGCGCGCCUAAUACAUGCAAGUCGAGCGAGAAGACGUAGCAAUACGUUUGUAAAGCGGCGAACGGGUGAGGAACACAUGGGUAACCUACCCUAGAGUGGGGAAUAACUAGCCGAAAGGUUAGCUAAUACCGCGUACGCUCCUUGGACUUCGGUACAGGGAGGAAAGCGAUACCGUGGGUAUCGCGCUCUUGGAUGGGCUCAUGUCCUAUCAGCUUGUUGGUGAGGAACGGCUCACCAAGGCUUCGACGGGUAGCUGGUCUGAGAGGACGAUCAGCCACACUGGCACUGCGACACGGGCCAGACUCCUACGGGAGGCAGCAGUAAGGAAUAUUGCGCAAUGGGCGAAAGCCUGACGCAGCGACGCCGCGUGGGGGAUGAAGGUCUUCGGAUUGUAAACCCCUUUCGGGAGGGAAGAUGGAACGAGCAAUCGUUCGGACGGUACCUCCAGAAGCAGCCACGGCUAACUUCGUGCCAGCAGCCGCUGU
rnacentral:rRNA from 1 species